GCAGUCCCCACCGGCAGACGGAAGAUUUGGCUACUGAAAGCCUGCCGCUGCGUCACUCGAAAGCCACUCUCAGCUUUGAAUUGCAUGGGAAUGGAUCAUUGGUGUUGGGCUAAGAUUCCUGAAAGAAGAUUCUCUGCAUGCUGUUUGUGGCUAUCUCUAUUCCAGGACUGGCACAGGUCAGACGGAAAGCAUCAGAGACCCUGAGCUGUGCAAGCCCUGGAAAGCUGCAGAUGUUGGCUCUAUGACAGUUCAGCUUUCAAAGGAAAUGAUGACCUGCUAUUUAGUGGCACCAAACGAAAAACAAAGCCAUCCAAACACAAUGGCUGGGUGUUCUGAGUGAUGACAAAACUGAUGCGCUGAGCUAACAAAUAAUAGUUACAAAUGUAUGUGGGGGUGUGGGAGAAACACCACCUCUUCUGAUUGCUGGUUGGUUAAGAGCGAGGGCUUCCGUCACAUUAAAAAAAAAAUUGAAUCUUACUGUAACGGUCCUUCAGAGUGACUGGAGGUGAUAAACCUUUGCCCAUAUUCCCCCCCAUCCCACACCUUUUUUUAAACUUUGAGACUGACUUCUCAUUUUCCAGCCAGGAAGAAAGUGAUGUCUAUUGGGCUAGGUCUUAUAUAAAACUUUUCUUUGGCUGGUUAAUAUUCUGUAAGCAGAGGAAGGACAUGCCCCUGAUCUUGGUGGAUGCACUGAGCAUACAUUUAAUUUUUGAUGAUUUGUACAUCUUUAAAUAUGUAAACUACAGCUGGGAUAUGUUAAUGUUGCUUCUUGUCAGUAUUAUAUGUUAUUUCACUGGAGGAUUUCCACUGCACCUUGCUGACACUGGUGAGACAGAAAAGAAGAUGCAGUAGUAGCCUGAGAUUUGAGAGGCCGGGUUUCAGUUCCUUGCUGUGUCACUCUUGCUAGAUGUUUGUGUACAGUGCUUAGCACAAUGGGCCCCAAGUCUUGUUUGGGCCUUCUAGGUACCUCCUGUAAUAUACAUAUAAUACAUUUACGGCAAGCUAAAUGGGUCAGAGCUUGCAUUCUGAAUUUCUGCAGGGGUGCCCCAAAAGUAAGCUUUGACAUUUGGAUUCAGAAGAUCUGAAUCAAAAUACCCUGGGCUGCGGUUUGGUUCCAGAUACACUGUAAUUUGCUAUAUUUUCACACAGAUUUCAACUUGUACCAAAUGAUUUAAAGAAAUAUUCAGCCAAUGUCCCUUUUAUCAUCGUAUGUCUUCUCUCAGAGGCCAUCAGUGUUAUUUUAUAAUAGCGGUGUCAGAUAUAGAUAACUGAUGUUAUAAAAGAAUGGAGAAUACAAAUGCAGCCAGAGUUGUUAAGCAAUGAGAUGGUGGUUUAAUAAUAGUCACUCUGUGGAACUGUAACUUACAUCAAAUAAA